rnacentral:rRNA from 1 species
AACGAACGCUGGCGGCAGGCUUAACACAUGCAAGUCGAGCGCCCCGCUCGGUGUGUGCGGCCUACGUGAGUGUCGCGCGUGUGAACGUCUCUUUGGUUUCGAUAUCCCCGUGGGACUCUGGCUCUUAUCGGGGGUUUCCUCUUUUGUAAAGAGGCUUCGUCACAAGAUGAGUGCGCGUAUGAUUAUCUCGUUGGUGAGGUAAUGUCUCACCAAGGCGACGAUCUUUAGCUGGGCUGAGAGGACGAUCAGCCACACUGGGACUGAGACACGGGCCAGACUCCUACGGGAGGCAGCAGUGGGGAAUAUUGGACAAGGGGGGCAACCCUGAUCCAGCCAUGCCGCGUGAGUGAUGAAGGCCUUAGGGUUGUAAAGCUCUUUUGGCCGGGACGAUAAUGACGGUACCGGAAGAAUAAGCCCCGGCUAACUUCGUG